rnacentral:rRNA from 1 species
UCGACCUCAGAUUGGUAGGGCUACCCGCUGAACUUAAGCAUAUCAAUAAGCGGAGGAAAAGAAAACCAACC